AGCCCCUAGCGCAGACGGCGGAGAGCAGAGAGGGAGCGCGCCUUGGCUCGCUGGCCUUGGCGGCGGCUCCUCAGGAGAGCUGGGGCGCCCACGAGAGGAUCCCUCACCCGGGUCUCUCCUCAGGGAUGACAUCAUCCGUCCACCUCCUUGUCUUCAAGGACCACCUCCUCUCCAUGCUGAGCUGCUGCCAAGGGGCCUGCUGCCCAUCUACACCUCACGAGGGCACUAGGAGCACGGUUUCCUGGAUCCCACCAACAUACAAAGCAGCCACUCACUGACCCCCAGGACCAGGAUGGCAAAGGAUGAAGAGGACCGGAACUGACCAGCCAGCUGUCCCUCUUACCUAAAGACUUAAACCAAUGCCCUAGUGAGGGGGCAUUGGGCAUUAAGCCCUGACCUUUGCUAUGCUCAUACUUUGACUCUAUGAGUACUUUCCUAUAAGUCUUUGCUUGUGUUCACCUGCUAGCAAACUGGAGUGUUUCCCUCCCCAAGGGGGUGUCAGUCUUUGUCGACUGACUCUGUCAUCACCCUUAUGAUGUCCUGAAUGGAAGGAUCCCUUUGGGAAAUUCUCAGGAGGGGGACCUGGGCCAAGGGCUUGGCCAGCAUCCUGCUGGCAACUCCAAGGCCCUGGGUGGGCUUCUGGAAUGAGCAUGCUACUGAAUCACCAAAGGCACGCCCGACCUCUCUGAAGAUCUUCCUAUCCUUUUCUGGGGGAAUGGGGUCGAUGAGAGCAACCUCCUAGGGUUGUUGUGAGAAUUAAAUGAGAUAAAAGAGGCCUCAGGCAGGAUCUGGCAUAGAGGAGGUGAUCAGCAAAUGUUUGUUGAAAAGGUUUGACAGGUCAGUCCCUUCCCACCCCUCUUGCUUGUCUUACUUGUCUUAUUUAUUCUCCAACAGCACUCCAGGCAGCCCUUGUCCACGGGCUCUCCUUGCAUCAGGGCUAAUCUCGGGCCUUGUCGAAGGAAGAGGCUGCAGACGUUAAUGAGGUUAGCUGCUGGAUUCCAGUAUUCGUCGCAUAAGGAUCCUUCUUUGUCUGCGAAGGAAAAACACACUGAUUAUCAUAAUGAGGCACGUGGGCCGUGGCCCGGCUGGGUCGGCUGAAGAACUGCGGAUGGAAGCUGCGGAAGAGGCCCUGAUGGGGCCCACCAUCCCGGACCCAAGUCUUCUUCCUGGCGGGCCUCUCGUCUCCUUCCUGGUUUGGGCGGAAGCCAUCACCUGGAUGCCUACGUGGGAAGGGACCUCGAAUGUGGGACCCCAGCCCCUCUCCAGCUCGAAAUCCCUCCACAGCCACGGGGACACCCUGCACCUAUUCCCACGGGACAGGCUGGACCCAGAGACUCUGGACCCGGGGCCUCCCCUUGAGUAGAGACCCGCCCUCUGACUGAUGGACGCCGCUGACCUGGGGUCAGACCCGUGGGCUGGACCCCUGCCCACCCCGCAGGAACCCUGAGGCCUAGGGGAGCUGUUGAGCCUUCAGUGUCUGCAUGUGGGAAGUGGGCUCCUUCACCUACCUCACAGGGCUGUUGUGAGGGGCGCUGUGAUGCGGUUCCAAAGCACAGGGCUUGGCGCACCCCACUGUGCUCUCAAUAAAUGUGUUUCCUGUCUUAACAAAAA
rnacentral:lncRNA from 1 species